rnacentral:tRNA from 1 species
GCCAGUGUGGCAUAGUGGUUAAAGUGUUGGACUACAACUCUGGAGACCAGGAUUCAAAUCCCGGCCUGGCC